rnacentral:lncRNA from 1 species
CUGUUUAAAUUGAGGAUCAUAGGUAAUUAUGUUCCUUGUUACAUGCUGAUUUUUCAGCGAUUAUUCUCAAUCUAGGCUAAUGAUUAUGGAAGCUGUUACACUAUACAAUAAUGUCUAUAUAUGUGUAUUACAAUCAUACCAUAAGUAAAUUGUUUAAUUUUGCCUAAUAUAUGUCCUGAUUGACAGGUGGCACCAAUAUGGACAAAUUCAUGGAAGGACGACAUAGUUAGUUUGAACAUAUUUUAUAAUAGAUUUAAAGAAGCUCCUACCUAUAAGAGUGAUACCUAAUAGAACAUUUUAGAUGAAAGAUAUGUAGACCAAAGUUAACAUGGUGUUGAUGUGGUUGUGAAAGAUUUGUUUUCAUUUGAUCUUACAAAGAUCUGAUGAUGGAUAGAAGACAAUGGCAAAAAAUGAUUCCAGGGAACCUUGUCCAACUCACUGAUUCUUCACUUCUUUGGCAGCCAACCCCAAAUUUACUGGGAAAAAGUCUUAGUUUGUUGUUAGGGUUACAAUUUAUUGAAAAUGAGAUUCUGAAAAAAUGUUGAAAGAGAAAUGUAGAACAAAUAUGCAGAGUUCCUGGAUGUCUCCACCAACCCGUUGCAAUAAUAGCACAUGUUUAUCCUAAGGAAUUCAAGCUUGGAAAUGAGAGGUCAUGUUGAAAGCAUAGAUCUAAAAUACAGAUAGUUCUACGGAAGUCUGAUUAAUUCCAUUGGAUAGUUUAGGUUAUUAGUAGGAUAUAAUCCCGUGUAAUUUCCGUGUAAUUGUGUACAUAG